rnacentral:piRNA from 1 species
UGCACCAUAUCAUCUUCGCCUGCUGCA